AUUACCCUUUUAUUAUUAUAGAUGGAUUUUGGGGUUCAGGGAGAUGGAAUGGGAGCUUGCUUCGUCCACUCCACACAUUGACCCAGUAUUGCAGUACCUCUGGGAAUGGUGCACCAAAA
rnacentral:snRNA from 1 species